CAGCUUCUAUCUUUGUGUUCUCCAUGACAAUGCUCUUACAGAGGUGGUGAAUGCUCUGUGCCUUCAGAUACGCCCUCCUCCAUUCCAGGUCUCGACUGAGCACAACACUUGCCUGUCAGAGGUUCUUAUGGUGGAGCCAGGGCGGCACAUAGGAGGCAAAUCAAUCUGCGCAUUAUCUCAGGCAGGUGUUUGUGGCGCACUCGUAGUAAUCAUGCAGCACACGCACGAAUGUGUGGGGCACCACUCCCUUUGAAAGUAGCUCUUUUGCCAGCAGCGCCUGGGUGUCUGAGGUGCAUUUAUGAUUUCUU
rnacentral:lncRNA from 1 species